rnacentral:rRNA from 1 species
GGACUACACGGGUUUCUAAUCCUGUUUGCUCCCCACGCUCUCGCGCCUCAGCGUCAGUAUUUGCCCAGGUAGCCGCCUUCGCCACUGGUAUUCCUUCCGAUCUCUACGCAUUUCACCGCUACACCGGAAAUUCUACUACCCUCUGCAAUACUCCAGCUUAACAGUCAUCGAUGCAGUUCCUAGGUUAAGCCCAGGGAUUUCACAUCAAUCUUAUUAAACCGCCUACGCGCCCUUUACGCCCAGUAACUCCGAUUAACGCUCGCACCCUCUGUAUUACCGCGGCUGCUGGCAC